AUGUUUUUGGUUCCAGAAGUUAGCGUCGUUCCCGACUCCGACGCUAGUAGUAAAUCCAAACAACCACCACAAUACCCUCCGCAACCCAUUUUCUUUGUGCAAAUACCUUCCACAUUCCACGGUGCUUUAUCCAUUCCUUUAUUCUACGAUUCAAGGGUUUUUAUCCCGUUUUUGGUGUCAUAUUGUCUUAGUUUCGUGACAGCAACAGUUGGCAGAAGAUCCGAAAAGAACGGAAAUGAAGUUGAGGGUCGGUGA